rnacentral:rRNA from 1 species
GAUGAGAGUGAUUUUGUUGCACUGGUUCAAUCAUCAUCCAAUCACCGAUGUUAAGCAAUGUCGAGCCUAGUUAGUACUUAGAUGGUGACCACUUGGGAAGCCUAGGUGCUGUAAGCA